rnacentral:lncRNA from 14 species
CAAGAACAAGAACAGCAACAGCAGUGGCUGACUGGAGGACCAUCCAUCUUUCCUUCACAUAUUUUUCCUCCCUGAUAUGUCAUCCCAGGAGGAGCAAUGCACCUGGAAUCCAGUGGGGGUAAUGUCGUGCAGCUGGGUAACGUUGGCAGUGAUAGAC